GUGAGCACAUAUACUAACGUUGGAACAUACAGAAGAGUAGCCUGGCCCUGCACAAGGAUGGCAUGCAAGUUCGUGAAGCUUCCAUAUUUUUA
rnacentral:snRNA from 1 species